UACGUAGGUGACCAGCGUUGUCCGGAUUUACUGGGCGUAAAGAGCGCGCAGGCGGUCGUUCAAGUCGAGUGUGAAAGCCCCCGGCUCAACUGGGGAGGGUCACUCGAUACUGAUCGACUUGAAGGCAGGAGAGGGAAGCGGAAUUCCCGGUGUAGCGGUGAAAUGCGCAGAUAUCAGGAGGAACACCGAUGGCGAAGGCAGCUCACUGGGACGGUACUGACGCUGAGACGCGAAAGCGUGGGGAGCAAACAGG
rnacentral:rRNA from 1 species